rnacentral:rRNA from 1 species
GACGAACGCUGGCGGCGUGCCUAAUACAUGCAAGUAGAACGCACAGUUUAUACCGUAGCUUGCUACACCAUAAACUGUGAGUUGCGAACGGGUGAGUAACGCGUAGGUAACCUGCCUGGUAGCGGGGGAUAACUAUUGGAAACGAUAGCUAAUACCGCAUCAUAUUAAUUAUUGCAUGAUAAUUGAUUGAAAGAUGCAAUUGCAUCACUACCAGAUGGACCUGCGUUGUAUUAGCUAGUAGGUGAGGUAACGGCUCACCUAGGCGACGAUACAUAGCCGAACUGAGAGGGGGAACGGGCACACUGGGACUGAGACACGGCCCAGACCCCUACGGGAGGCAGCCGUAGGGAAUCUUCGGCAAUGGACGAAAGGCUGAACGAGGAAACCCGCGUGAGUGAAGAAGGUUUUCGGAUCGUAAAGAUCUGUUGUAAGAGAAGAACGGGUGUGAGAGUGGAAAGUUCACACUGUGACGGUAUCUUACCAGAAAGGGACGGCUAACUACGUG